CCACAAUUUUCUUCCUAGCUACUGUUCAUUUUAUUUCUUAACAGGUAAAAGUGUUAAAUACAACCAUCUGUAUGAAAUAAUAUUUGUAGGAAAUACAAGAAAUAUGUUAUUUGUGGGAAAUAACAAUAGAUCAGCCGAUGUGGCUUAAUAACACUAAGAAACACUGGAAUAAAAAGAAAUUACUUGGCCGGGUGCGGUGGCUUGCGCCUGUAAUCCCAGUACUCUGGGAGGCCGAGGCGGGCGGAUCACCUCAGGUUGGGAGUUUGAGACCAGCCUGACCAACAUGGAGAAACCCCGUCUGUACUAAAAAUACAAAAUUAGCCGAGCGUGAUGGCGCAUGCCUGUAAUCCCAGCUACUCGGGAGGCUGAGGCAGGAGAAUUGCUUGAACCUGGGAGGCGGAGAUUGUGGUGAGCCGAGAUCGUGCCAUUGCACUCCAGCCUGGGCAACAAGAGCAAAACUCCAUCUCAAAAAAAAAAAAAAAAAAAAAGGCAUUACUUAAAUACAAUGUAUAUUAUUUUCCAGAAAACAACAUUCAUUUAUUAAUUCAACAAAUAUUUGUUGAAGACCUACUAGAUGUUUUCAUUCUAAGUACUAGAAAUGAAAGGGUAGAUAAGUCAGGUUUAUAGCCUAGUAUAUAGUCUGUCUUAGGGAGACAAUUCAGUAAAUAAUACACCUGCCAAUAUAAUUGGUGCUAUGAGGCAAAUAAAACUGAAUAAUGUGACAGAUAGUGACAGACAAGCUCAUUAGAUAUUAAUGCUGGGCAUGUCUCCUAAUGCAACAGACCAAAUGGGAAUUUGACUGGUAUGAUUAGAAAUGUAAGCUCAAUAAAUACAUAUCAAUGACUCUGAAUUGAAGUCUAUGCAAGCUAAGAGACCAGGAACUACUGUAUUAUGUUGUCAUCGGUGACACCUGAACAAAGCAAUCAUGGAAUAUUCUCAUAGAAUGCUUCUGUCUGAUUCCUUGGCGACCACUCAGGGCAGCAGUGGGCAGCCAGAACAAAUGCCUGCAGUGGGGAAGCGGCUAGGAGGGACAGCAGCACAGCAUCAUAGCACAGUUGUAUAGCCAAAGAAGACCUUCUUGGUGUAAAUAUCAGGAAAAAAAAUUAUCCUUAUUUUUCAGGAAUUGUGAUUGCAUUUCUAGAAUACAAAUCCAGAAAUAAUAAGCUACUAGAAUUAACAAGAGAAUGUAGUGGCAAGACAGAAAUAAAGAAUGUAAUAGCUUUCCUUUGUCUAUGCAAUAUCUAGUUAGAAUGGAAAUGGAAGAAAAUACCCUGUUUGCAAGUGACCAGAAGUACAAAAUAUCUAGGAAGGAAGGGAUAGGAACUAUAAGGAGCAAAGGGAACAUAGGACUAAAACUAUGAAAUUGUAUUCAAAGAUGUAAGACAAAACCUAAAGAGAAAAGAGUCUAUGUUCCUGGAUGGGAGGACUUAAUAUCAGAAAAAGUCACUAUCUAAAAUUAAUAACUUAAUACAAUUAGAAUCUCAAUGUGGUUAGUUUUACUCACCCACUCCCACCUUGGAUGAGUGGGUGGCACUGAGUCAAGUUUUUUUUUUUUUUUUUUUUUGAGACAGAGUCUCACUCUGUCACCCAGGCUGGAGUGCAGUGGCACAAUCUCGGCUCACUGCAACCUCUGCCUCCAGGGUUCAAGCUAUUCUCCUGCCUCAGCCUCCCAAGUAGCUGGGACUACUGGCGCCUGCCACCACGCCCGGCUAAUUUUUGUGUUUUUAGUAGAGACGGGGUUUCACCAUGUUGGCCGGGCUGGUCUCGAAUUCCUGACCUUGUGAUCCGCCCACCUAGGCCCCCCCAAAGUGCUGGGAUUACAGGGGUGAGCCACCGCACCUGGCCCAAAGGUUUUAUCAUUCAGAAAUGGCAAAACUAGGCUGGGCGCGGGUGCACGCCUGUAAUCCCAACACUUUGGGAGGCCGAGAUGGGCGGAUCAUCUGAGGUCAGAAGUUUGAGACAAUCCUGGCCAACAUGGUGAAACCCCGUCUCUACUAAAAAUACAAAAAAAUAGCUGGGCGUGGUGCCGGGCGCCUGUAAUCCCAGCUACUCGGGAGGCUGAGGCAGGAGAAUGGCUUGAACCUGGGAGGCAGAGGUUGCAGCUGAGCCGAGAUUGCGCCACUGCACUCCAGCCUGGGUGACAAGAGCGAGAUUCUGUCUCAAAAAAAAAAAAAAAAAAGGCAAAACUAGCUCCAGAGUUUAUAUACUUACCAAUAUUUUACGCUGCCUCUUAGGCAGAAAAUUCAGAUGGACAAUAAGCAUAAAAAAGAAAUGAAAUUACUAUCAGCUGACUGUUUAGUGCGCUCAGAAUAAAGACGAAUUGAUAAUCUUAAUGGCCAGAGCCUUCAAAUUGUGAUAAUUAAUACUCUACUCAAAUGACACACCUCUCAGGGCACCCACAGCAAUACCAGUAUACAGACAAUGUAUUUUUCUAGAAUUAGGCCACUUUAGGAAAACAUAAAAUUGAUGAUAGUUUUCUAACAUUUUAGCUUAUCCUUAGAAUAUGUUCAUGUCUUCUCCUCCUACCUCCACUUCAACUGCCACUAUACUCAAACUCACUAAUCAUAUAAAUGCACAUUAAACAUGAAAUACUUUUUUCUGUCUAUCAAAAUGGCAAAAAUCCAAAUGAACAGAAACACACAGUAGGAAAGUAGGAAAACAGGCAUUCAUAUUUCAAUGACAUGAGUAUGAAUUUUUACAUCUUUUUGGAAAAGUAAUUUGAUAAUAUUUAUCAAAAGUAAGACUAUUAGAGUAGUUUCACCUGCAAAUCUUAACUUUUGCUGCAAGAGACCAUGGUACAUAAGGUUGUAAGGGCAAGGAUGUUUAUUGCAUCUUUGUUUGUAGUGGCAAAAACUGGAAACAGCUCCAAGGCUUAUCAAUUUUUUAAAAAGCUUGAAUUAGGCUGGGCAAUGGCUCAUACCUGUAAUCCCAGCACUUUCGGAGGCCAGGUCAGGCAGAUCAGUUGUCAAGACCAACAUAGGGAGACCCCAUCUCUACAAAAAAUUUAAAAAUUGCAGGGCAUGCUGGUGUGUGCCUAUAGUCCCAACUACUUGGGAAGCUGAGGUGAGAGGAUUGCUUGAGCCCAAGAGGUUGAGGCUGCAGUGAACUAUGAUCAUGCCACUCUACUCCAGCCUAGGUAACAGACAAGGACCUUGUCUCAAGAAAGAAAAAAAGAAAAAAAAAAAAAAAGAAAAUGCUUGAAUUAUAGUAUGUUUAAAGUGUGGGAAAUUGUAUAAUGAUUAGAGUAAAUGAACUAGUUAUAUUUUCAUUUAUUAGAAUACUCUAUUAUUUAGUUAUUAGAAUUAGAGGAGGACUAUCCAUGAUGUAUUGGUGA
rnacentral:lncRNA from 10 species